AUGUCACCAGCUUCCCAGGACGAGGUAGAGAUGGAUUCCCUCAAAGUACCUCUUCACAGCCAUUUCCAGGGCAGAUGUCUGCUCUCCCAUCACCUGCACCAAACAGGGGUCCAGGUCUUCCAGCUGCUGAUGGAGUCCAGAGCAGAGCUUGUCCAGGAGGGUGGAGUCCCAGGCAGCAGAGGAGCGCUCCGUGUGGAAGAGGAGGAAGGUCUGCUGGAGCAUCUCGUGGAGGACAGAGAUGGCCUGGGUCUUCUGCAGCUGGCUGCCUUCCACCAUCUCCUGGGGGAACCCGAAGUCUUUUCUGUCCUUCAGACAGAAGGNNNNNNNNNNNNUUGUCAUAGAAGUAUAAUUUCCCCAGUGAAUUUAGAUAUAUCCAUGCAAAUGGAUAUUUAUCAAUCUAAUUAGAAACAUUCUGUCUCAGAGUCAGAAGUGAUGUUGGUGUAUAAACACAUCCUCUUUGUGUGUGUGAAUCCCUUUCCUUCAUAAAUACUGCUCUUCUCCAUUGUAGGAGCAAAUUUCUACCUCUGAUCUUAGGCUCCAUUUUUCCCACCUUCUUUACUUAGGAGACCAAAUCUCUCAGCUCUAUGGUGUCUGUCUGUAUUCACUUAGGGAUUUACGAGACCACCUUUGGAAAUUAACGGCUUUGAAAUGGAAGAGGGGUUUUAUUUACUAUUUGAUUAACAGAAGAGGCCAGUGACUAUGAGUGAAUGAUAUUCUUUUAUGUUUCUCUUGCUUCUAGAACAGAUCCAUGCAGAUCCAUGUGGUUCUGCUUCAGGGGACCAGGAGGUCAGGACAAUUACAGACAUUGUCCUUUCUUUCCACCAUGUUCUUCCUGGGGACUUAUAGUCCUCCACAGCCUGGGCCAAUAUCCCUGACAGGAAUCCUGGUUCUUUUCAGGAGAAUAUGGGUGUGGAGAUUCUAAUUCCAAGAUGAUUGUGUUUUCCUGGCAGCAUCUCCCUCACAAGGAGGGUGUCACAUCUAGUAACACCCUGUCCUCUAGAGGAACAGAGUCCCCAUCCUAACCUCCUGCACCCACUCCCUGAAGCAGACUCACCACAUCCUGAGAACUUUAAAACCUCCUCACUGUGGAGGGCCCUAUUUAUUUGUUGGGAAGAUAAUUCUUCUCCCAGGAUCUCUGCCUUUGCCCCCAGAGUGUUUGCUUGAAGGACCCUAGUCCUCAGUGGUGACCUCCUCCUCUCCUGACAUGUGUCCUCAGGUAUCAAAGGUGCCAGCAGCCCUCAGAUGCUGAGAGCAAAGGUGUGUCCUGUCUUAGGAUGUGGAGAAGUUAUCCGGUUGAAAUCACUUCAGUUUGACUUGACAGAUAAUUUACAUUUUGUCAAUACAAAUUUGUUGGUCAACUCUUGUCCUUAAACAAAUGAAUGCUUGUUAUACUCAAAGUUUCUCA
rnacentral:lncRNA from 1 species